rnacentral:rRNA from 1 species
GAGCCCGUAAUCCGGGCGGUUAGAAUUCAGAAUCGACGGCGGCGUUUCGCGCGUCGUCGUCGUUUUGCAAUUUCUGCCGCCGCCUUAAAAAAACACGGACGUCGCGACCCGUUCGACGUUGGUCUUGAGAACCGCGCGUUCACGUUCACCGUGUGUGUCCGGGCACGUUUGCGCGUGUUUGUGGCGCACACGGUGAGGGCGCGGCCUUCUGGCCAGCUAUUCGUCGGACGGUAUGGUAAAGAGCGCGGUAAUCGGCGUCCGCUUUGCGCGGUCGUCGACACCGGUCAGCGACGAAUCUUCGGGCCUCUUUCCGACCCGUCUUGAAACACGGACCAAGGAGUCUAACGUGUGCGCGAGUCGCGGGGUAUCGAGUCGUCGUCGUGAUCGUUUCGGCGGUGGCGGCGGCGGCUCGUUACGAUACAAACCCGUUGGUACUUUGUGCAAGGCGUAAUGAAAGUGAAUGU